AUUAAAUCCUUGAAAGUGUAGGUCAAUAUAAACAACCGCUUUAUGAUUAUAGAAGGCAGAAUCAGCUAAGAAGUGAGUAACAACCUACCUGCAGAAUAUUCCGGUUCCAAAAAUGGAUGGCGUUGAG
rnacentral:rRNA from 1 species